rnacentral:rRNA from 1 species
UUACGGGAGGCAGCGGUGGGGAAUAUUGCGCAAUGGGCGAAAGCCUGACGCAGCGACGCCGCGUGAGGGACGACGGCCUUCGGGUUGUAAACCUCUUUCAGCAGGGAAGAAGCGAAAGUGACGGUACCUGCAGAAGAAGCACCGGCUAACUACGUGCCAGCAGCCGCGGUAAUACGUAGGGUGCAAGCGUUGUCCAGAAUUAUUGGGCGUAAAGAGCUCGUAGGCGGUCUGUCGCGUCGGAUGUGAAAACCCAGGGCUCAACCCUGGGCCUGCAUUCGAUACGGGCAGACUAGAGUUCGGCAGGGGAGACUGGAAUUCCUGGUGUAGCGGUGAAAUGCGCAGAUAUCAGGAGGAACACCGGUGGCGAAGGCGGGUCUCUGGGUCAAUACUGACGCUGAGGAGCGAAAGCGUGGGGAGCGAACAGGAUUAGAUACCCCAGUAU